CUUUAUUUCAAUGAAAUAUAUGUAUCCUGUUGAUGCUGCUAAUAAUAUUCUUUUCUUGUGACACUGAAGUUUGGGAUUUAUUUAUUACAGCAGCAUAAGCCACCUUACCUAGACUUAUACACUAUUUUUAUUCCUGAAGGAAAUUUGACUUAUCCAAUGAAAUGAAGUAAAGUUAACAUUUACCAUGUACUGCUUAGAGACAACUCUGAAAAGCCCGUCACUGCUGAUAUCUAACAUGGGCUUUCGCUACUUGAGUAACUACAUUUUUCAAGAAGUAUACAUGGACUUAAUUAUCUGUGCCUGAGUACCACCCAGCAGCCAGAGGGUUAGUAGGGACUUCAAAGGCUAUCCCAGGACCUGGAGACUCUGUUUGACCAGACUGCAUGAUGAAUCAUUGUUAAUGCCUACUGAGAGGAUACUGUGCAUUAAAUGAAAUCAAAGAUGGAGCAAU
rnacentral:lncRNA from 1 species